rnacentral:ncRNA from 1 species
UGAAAGACGAGUAUAAAGGAUAGUAGCAUAGCAAACGGUAUAUAGCGAUUCGAGGAUGGUGGGAGCUCGAUUAACGUAGCUAUUGUGAAAUCACCUUUUAGUCUUACUUCUGAAAUAUACAUAGUAAGAGGUAACGUUUCAUUCACGUUAAGGAUGAAGAGUGGGCAUGCUUUUGAGACAUGCUCAUUAGGGUGGUACCACGGGUAGUCUUCUCGUCCCUAAC